GUUCACUCAUCCUCUGUCUCUGCCCUUCACUGCAGCCAUGACCAGCUGCUCGGGUUCCUGCAGACAGAGGAGCCUGGAACUGUGAGAGCACCGUAACUGGAGCAAGCAUAGCAGUAGCCCGAGUAAUCUGGAAGAUGGCAACCGCUAGCCAUUUCAGCUACAAACCAUGGCCAGGAGUUUACUGUGAGGCUAACUCCUUCACGUAGGCCCUAUUAAAAAAUAAUUGCCAUCUACCAGACUCCCUUCUUUUUUAUUAAACUGUCAUUAAUUACGGGUAACAACAACUUUCAUUUGGAUUUUAUGGAGUAAUUAUGAAAUAAACAUGGAGAACAUCAAGCUUCCUGUCUCACUGAAAGCAGGGAAUCUCCAUAAUGCUCCAUCCAUGAGGUGGCCACGCUGAGCUUGGCCUGACCUGGUUCCGCUCGCGGCUAACAACAGAUCUUCUGAGGGUUGUUACAUCAUUCACUGGGGUUGCUGCGUAAUUUGACCAUGACUACGUCUUGAAGUUUUCAUACUCCAGACACACUGUGGCUUCUCUGAAGCUGCAGCCAGCCGCAGAGUGACGCUUGCCUAGAGAGAGCUGACCUAAUGCUUGGAUUUUCUCUAGAAGGCAUAUCACCACCCUCUUGUGCUUUCAGAUACAAGACAAAAUUUGGGACUUGUUUAUGAAAAGUCAACAAAAAGCAUGAAACUUUAAAGAAAAAAAAGGCCCCAAAUGGACCCCUGGGGAGGACGCUUGUUGCUGGCAGUUGAAACAAGAGGGCAGAGCCCCACCCUCUCUGAGCUCAAGCUGUGGGCCUGCACGUUGACAGUGACAACAAAAUGCUUCAAGUAACAGCUCUGGGUUACAUGUAGGUUUUUAGUGAGAAGGCAAAUUUGUAAAAGCCCGAUCUACAAAUAACGUGGAGUGCCUAGGCUUUACACUGCCUGCUUUGCCAGUCACUUGCCUAUGAGCUACUCUUGCUUUUCUCUGCAGUCUUCCUCACUUAAGGACCAUCUCAGCCUACAUACAGCCUUUAUACAGCAGGGAGGGCUAGAACAUACACGAUGAUUCAAUUUGCCAAUAAAUUAAUUUCUAGAAAUCACCAAUUUAUGCCGGGAAGCGGUGGUGCACAUCUUUAGACCCAGCACUCAGGCAGAAACAGAGGUAGGCAGACAUCUGUAAGUUCAAGGCCAGCCUGGUCUUCAAGUUAGUUCCAGGACAGUCAGGGAUGUUAUGCAGAGUCUCUGUCUUGGA